rnacentral:lncRNA from 1 species
CUUUACCCGCAGGUCAGCUCCAGAUGUGUACAGCUGGACCUAGCCUGCCCCAGACCCUGGAGUUUUACCUGCCAGAGGAGGGGCCAGGCUGGAAAACUGAGGUUACCUCCAGCUAGCACAGAGAGGGACCAGGGAAUAGACUGGAAGGGCAGAAGUCAGAGGGGCUCACACUCCUCACCUCCCAUCCCCAACUCCCCCCCCCUCCCCCGGGGGCAGGCUCUGCAGCCCGAGAUGAGUUUGUUUACCAGGCACGACACAAGAUUUCCUGCUUUUGGAGCUUUUUACUAGGCCUAGAGGGACUGCGGGGAAGAACUGGUCAGCCAGCCCCAGUGAAUCAGAAACACAUGGCCGAACCUUCCCACUCCUGCCCCAGCUGGACCCCAGGGACUUAGCCAAACCCCAAACAUCUGUCCCCUUUUGGUCCUACCGAGCUGAAUCUGGGGGAUGAUGAGGCACCAGACACCCCAGGGCCUAACCAGCUCUCCACCCACCGGGCCUGAGCACCCACCGUGGGCUUCCCUAGAUGUCACACUGGGAGUAUGCCCUCCUCCUUUGACAGCCUUCAUCCCCCAUCUCUGGUAUCCUGGGGGCUUGAGCAUGGGCCAGGGCCUGUGAGACCCAACCUACAGCCAGGACCUCCUUGCUUCACAGGGUGGGGCGGAGUCUCUGGGCCAACUUUUAGAAGGGCCCCGUCCAACUCCUCUUAUCAGAGAAACACAGAGAGCCAGACACCACUGUUUAUUGAACUGUCUCUGCUUCGGGGUGUGCGACUCUGUGUGGGUGGAGGGGUGCUGGGGCAGGGACAUGUGAUGGCCACUGAGCUAGAAGGAGUUCCAUGGAUGGGGACACUGCUACACAGAAGCCAGGGAGCGCUUGCCCUGCUCGGCCAAGCAGCACAUCCUAUUUCCAGAUGAGUGGAGAACAAGUUCGGGCUGGCCCCGUGGAGUCUUAGAGUGUGUGAAAUGCUUCUGUUCUCAGAGCGCAAGCCGGCCAAGUUUUAGAGGGGCAGAUCCAGACCCCUCGUGGGCCACCCAACUAGCUUGAGGUAGCACAGUGGGGUUGGUUGUGAUGGGGGGUGCUUAUACAGUGGUGUUGGGUCCCUCAGCAGAAAGUGUCCCGUUCCGUGACCCCCCAAGUCACCUCUCCCAGCACCCCAGGUCUCCCACCCACCUUCCCCCACUGACCCCUGUAACCUGUACCUUCAUCUCAUCCACAGCCUACCAGCCACACUGCCCUCUUCAGGGCCAUAGGACCCCUCCCAGCUCCCCCCUCCCUGGCAGCACUUUGGGCAGAAGGCUGACUUCUGAAGACACUCCUUGACCUUCCAUUUCUGGGUGCCAAGGAAGCUGGAGGAACCCCUGACUGGACUUCCCGAAAGGAGGCCUUCAUCAUGGCUGUGGUCUCCCACGUUACUGGGAGGUGGGGCUGGCUACCUGGAUGCUGAAUUUAGCAGAGGGGAACCCUUCUGCCUCGCAGCAGAGGGCACACCCUCCUUAGCUUUCACUGUCAAGAGAGGGACCUGGCAUGUGGCCGGUGGGAAGCAAGGACAAGCCUUUGAGUCACUUCAGAAAGGAACUAGCCCUGCUUCACUCUGCCCUACCAGCAUGCAGGUUCUCCUCACCAUCUCUGAGCAUUGCGCACACACACGUCUACCAUAUACACAGAUAUAUUCUAUAUACGAGCUCUAUAUAAAUAUAUAUACACACACACACGUACAUAUCUGUCGCGUGCACCUGCAGGCCCAGAAGCCUAGGCCUCGCACAGCUGUGGGAGACCCGGAAGAGUCCUGGCCGUACUUCAGGGCAGCUCUACCGGGAGCAGGGAGAAAGCUUGCAACAGCACGAGAGGGCGGGGCCGGGUGGGAGAGUCGGGGUGACUCAGCUCACCCCGCACAGCUCAGUGCCCUGCAAUCUUCCCCUUCCGCCCCCCAAAAGAGAACACUUGGUUUGCCCGGUGUCGGGGCGCACACCUGUAAUCCCCGAGUUUGGGACGCAGAGGAAGGACAAUCUUUGCAAGUCUGAGGUCAGGUGGUCUACACUUGGUCUCCAUCUUGGUGAGUUUCCGGCUAGCUGGGGUCGACUCAGGGAGACCCCGUGUCAAACAAAACAAGAAGCGAAGAGAAGAUCUGGCUCCCCUCCCCUCCCCAAGGGUUUGCCCGACUGACUUGCUCCGGAAAGGGGCACACCGAGAAUUCAGGAGACCCCAGUGGGGUGCUGGCCAGUGUAGGUGUCCGGCGUUUGGGGGUGGGGUGAGGGGCAGCUUCAGCGUGGAGCCCUAGAAUGUCAGCCUCACCCGCUCACUUCAGACAGCAGCCAGGCCACAGGACCAGGGGCCAUACUCAAACCCCUCAGCAGAGACCAGGGCGCCUCUCUCCUGCCCUCCUCGGGGCCACCUGCCCAUCCUCUCCAACUAGUCUCCGUAACAUUCGCUGGGGACCCCGUGUGUACCCCUUGGUCACGUGUACUGUCCUGGAGGACGUCUUACUGCUGUGGCUACCGUGCCUGCGUCCCCUCUGGUCCCACCCUCACGCAGCCUUCCUGUAACUGCCUGUCUUUUUGUAGUUUCUGAUGUUUGUAACCAGACCCAGCUGUGUCAUUAAACAGGUCUGUUCUUCCUGUA